rnacentral:rRNA from 1 species
GAUGAACGCUGGCGGCGUGCCUAAUACAUGCAAGUCGAGCGAACGGACGAGAAGCUUGCUUCUCUGAUGUUAGCGGCGGUCGGGUGAGUAACACGUGGAUAACCUACCUAUAAGACUGGGAUAACUUCGGGAAACCGGAGCUAAUACCGGAUGAUAUUUUGAACCGCAUGGUUCAAAAGUGAAAGACGGUCUUGCUGUCACUUAUAGAUGGAUCCGCGCUGCAUUAGCUAGUUGGUAAGGUAACGGCUUACCAAGGCAACGAUGCAUAGCCGACCUGAGAGGGUGAUCGGCCACACUGGAACUGAGACACGGUCCAGACUCCUACGGGAGGCAGCAGUAGGGAAUCUUCCGCAAUGGGCGAAAGCCUGACGGAGCAACGCCGCGUGAGUGAUGAAGGUCUUCGGAUCGUAAAACUCUGUUAUUAGGGAAGAAAAUAUGUGUAAGUAACUGUGCACAUCUUGACGGUACCUAAUCAGAAAGCCACGGCUAACUACGUG